GGUUGUGACUCAGUGGUACAGUGCUUGCCUAGCACCCGUGAGGCACUGAGUUCGAUCCUCAAGCACCA
rnacentral:tRNA from 1 species